rnacentral:sRNA from 1 species
CAUGCAUCAUUUGCGUCCGGGGCAGUCACGUCACCGG